rnacentral:rRNA from 1 species
UCCUACSGGAGGCAGCAGUGGGGAAUUUUGGACAAUGGGGGCAACCCUGAUCCAGCAAUGCCGCGUGAGUGAAGAAGGCCUUCGGGUUGUAAAGCUCUUUUGUCAGGGAAGAAACGGUUCUGGAUAAUACCUAGGACUAAUGACGGUACCUGAAGAAUAAGCACCGGCUAACUACGUGCCAGCAGCCGCGGUAAUACGUAGGGUGCAAGCGUUAAUCGGAAUUACUGGGCGUAAAGCGUGCGCAGGCGGUUGUGUAAGUCAGAUGUGAAAUCCCCGGGCUCAACCUGGGAAUUGCAUUUGAGACUGCACGGCUAGAGUGUGUCAGAGGGGGGUAGAAUUCCACGUGUAGCAGUGAAAUGCGUAGAUAUGUGGAGGAAUACCGAUGGCGAAGGCAGCCCCCUGGGAUAACACUGACGCUCAUGCACGAAAGCGUGGGGAGCAAACAGGAUUAGAUACCCUGGUAGUCCACGCCCUAAACGAUGUCUACUAGUUGUCGGGUCUUAAU